CUCUGCUCUUCACCAUUUUGCUGCCAACGGCGCAACUUACACUACCGUAUAAACCGCACUUGCGCCCCAUCCUCUCUUCUUUUCAUUCAACCAUAAAAAUUUGAUUUUACGUCUUUCAAAUAUUUCGAUGAUCGUUUCUAAUGAAUAUUUAAACUAUAUUUACUUUAAUUCAUAUAACAUGCACUUUUGUAAGACUAAAAUAACUUUUUGUUAUGUAUGUAUUUGUUAUUACAAAACCGACGUCCAUCUUUAUUGAAAUAUUAAUUAUACUUCAAAUACGUUGAAUUCAAACGACAAAAAAGUAACGAAAUAUGAAGUUGUCUCACUUACAAGAGACAGUUAUUUUAAUAAUUUAAUGUAUAUUAAUUAUAAUAACAUAUAUUUAAUUUUGUAAUAAUUAAAUAUGACGUUCCCGAAUGUACUUUUUCUCGAUUACAUUUACAACUUUAUUACUAAUUUUAUCAUACAUUAUUUUAUUUCUUCGCGCAGCAUAUUAUUGGGUGUUCAUUUUCUAUCUACGAUACUGGUUUCAGUAAAAUGUACGGAACCAUUGGUCAAAUCAAUAUGCGCGCGCAUGUCGAUAUGUACUCCAUAUUAGGGGGAAAGAUAUUAAUUCGUUAAAUCUGGUUAAAUAUAGAAAAUGUACAAACACUUCACCUUAAGAAAGAGCCAUAAAAUAUUUGUUAUAUAUUUAUUGUAUAAAUCAUAUCGUUUAAAAUGAAAUAAUAUGAAAUUAAAUAAAAAGUAAUUUUACAUGGAGACUUUAGAACGCCAUCUAGAUGGCCCUGAAUUAAUGAAUCAAUAAUAGCGCCCUCUUUACAAUAGACUUGCAAAUUGAAAAUAUCUAAAUUAGGGGAAACCUUUGAAAUAGGUUCAAAAACUACAGAAAUUACAAAAUUCUCAAGAACUUAGUAAUUAAUCUGUACAAUAUUUUAUAUAAGUUCUAUUCAAUUUAUUUUACUCCUUCCAAUAGCCUCAAAGAAGGUAAAUUAUUGCUAAUUAAAAUUACUGGACAGUUUUAAUAUAAAACUUCAAAACGUUUUGAUAUUCUUUGCUAGUUUUAUUUUUGUAUUAAGUACAAUGAAAUAAUAGAAAUAUGAGAUAGAAGUUUUCAUUACAUGAAGAUACAUGAUCUACAAAUAAUAUUAAAUAAUAUUGAGUGUACAUAUGUGUGUGGUAAGAUAAACAUUGAUACAUUACAUUAUGUUAACAAUUAUUGAAUUAAUUUCCUUUUCUAAUGAAAAAUAUGUGUAAAGAUAAGUCAAAUGGGAAAUUCGUUAAGCAAAUGAAUAUCUACAGAUAUGGAGUAUAUAUACUUUCUUUAUGAAAAGAAUAAAAAAGAAUAAAAACAAGAAAUAUAAGGAAUUAUUUGAUAAGGAAAACAAUUUUACAUCAAUUAUUUAAUAGAUAAGCAAAUAAUGAAACCAUUAUAACU